GACGAACGCUGGCGGCGUGCCUAAUACAUGCAAGUCGAACGCUUCUUUCCUCCCGAGUGCUUGCACUCAAUUGGAAAGAGGAGUGGCGGACGGGUGAGUAACACGUGGGUAACCUACCCAUCAGAGGGGGAUAACACUUGGAAACAGGUGCUAAUACCGCAUAACAGUUUAUGCCGCAUGGCAUAAGAGUGAAAGGCGCUUUCGGGUGUCGCUGAUGGAUGGACCCGCGGUGCAUUAGCUAGUUGGUGAGGUAACGGCUCACCAAGGCCACGAUGCAUAGCCGACCUGAGAGGGUGAUCGGCCACACUGGGACUGAGACACGGCCCAGACUCCUACGGGAGGCAGCAGUAGGGAAUCUUCGGCAAUGGACGAAAGUCUGACCGAGCAACGCCGCGUGAGUGAAGAAGGUUUUCGGAUCGUAAAACUCUGUUGUUAGAGAAGAACAAGGACGUUAGUAACUGAACGUCCCUUGACGGUAUCUAACCAGAAAGCCACGGCUAACUACGUG
rnacentral:rRNA from 1 species